UACGAAGGGGGCUAGCGUUGCUCGGAAUCACUGGGCGUAAAGCGCACGUAGGCGGCUUCUUAAGUCAGGGGUGAAAUCCUGGAGCUCAACUCCAGAACUGCCUUUGAUACUGAGAAGCUUGAGUCCGGGAGAGGUGAGUGGAACUGCGAGUGUAGAGGUGAAAUUCGUAGAUAUUCGCAAGAACACCAGUGGCGAAGGCGGCUCACUGGCCCGGUACUGACGCUGAGGCUGCGAAAGCGUGG
rnacentral:rRNA from 1 species